UCCCUGAUGGCCUAGCAGUUAAGGAUUUGGCACUGUCACUGCCAUGGCUUGGGUUCGAUUCCUAGCCUGGGAA
rnacentral:tRNA from 1 species